UUUCCGUAGGUGAACCUGCGGAAGGAUCAUUACAAAUCUGGGUGGAUCUGGCUGGGGGUUGGUGGAAAGUGAAAACUGUCCACUGCCAACAAUCAUUGUCCACUAUAUUUACGCUUGUUGUGUUUGACAAAUCAAGUAAACUAUAAAUUGACAACUUUUAACAACGGAUCUCUGGGCUCUU
rnacentral:misc_RNA from 1 species